ACGCUGGCGGCAGGCCUAACACAUGCAAGUCGAGCGGAAACGACACUAACAAUCCCUCGGGUGCGUUAAUGGGCGUCGAGCGGCGGACGGGUGAGUAAUGCCUAGGAAAUUGCCUUGAUGUGGGGGAUAACCAUUGGAAACGAUGGCUAAUACCGCAUAAUGCCUACGGGCCAAAGAGGGGGACCUUCGGGCCUCUCGCGUCAAGAUAUGCCUAGGUGGGAUUAGCUAGUUGGUGAGGUAAUGGCUCACCAAGGCGACGAUCCCUAGCUGGUCUGAGAGGAUGAUCAGCCACACUGGAACUGAGACACGGUCCAGACUCCUACGGGAGGCAGCAGUGGGGAAUAUUGCACAAUGGGCGAAAGCCUGAUGCAGCCAUGCCGCGUGUAUGAAGAAGGCCUUCGGGUUGUAAAGUACUUUCAGUUGUGAGGAAGGGGGURKYGUUAAUAGCGSYAUCUCUUGACGUUAGCAACAGAAGAAGCACCGGCUAACUCCGUGCCAGCAGCCGCGGUAAUACGGAGGGUGCGAGCGUUAAUCGGAAUUACUGGGCGUAAAGCGCAUGCAGGUGGUUCAUUAAGUCAGAUGUGAAAGCCCGGGGCUCAACCUCGGAACUGCAUUUGAAACUGGUGAACUAGAGUACUGUAGAGGGGGGUAGAAUUUCAGGUGUAGCGGUGAAAUGCGUAGAGAUCUGAAGGAAUACCAGUGGCGAAGGCGGCCCCCUGGACA
rnacentral:rRNA from 1 species